rnacentral:ncRNA from 1 species
CCGGCUCCGGUUCACCCCGACCCAGGGGACCCGGCGGCC